UGGAGGACGUUUCAAAUGUUGCUGCGGCGAUAGUAGCGCUGGUACAGGAGAAAGAGGAGCCACUCAUUUCCAAAAGCUGUGUUUACAUUUUGGGUUCAGCAAAGACGUUUGAAUCCAGUGAAGUAUCCCUCAGGCGUUUUUGACAGAAACAGCUUAUUUAUGAGAGACUGAUGUGGAGAUGGUCAGAGGAUGUGCCGGGUCGCCGCCGAGCCAACAGGGAUCCAGACUGAUCUACUGUAUGCAGAAAAGCUCUGGGAGACGUGUGAAUAAGUGAGAUGUUACAGACUGAUGGGAUUCCCAGAGAGCCAACAAACGGACAACGUGAUGCAGAAAACAGAUGGAGACGGCGCCUCCUGCCUCGUCUUUUACACAUCCGUGAAAACACACCAAUGAACGCAACAAGAGAGACACACACCUGCCUCAGCUGGAUGAUCUAUGAGCCUCUGAAGGAAAAUUUGUUUAGCCUAUCCUGUAAAAUAAUGUGAUUUUUCUCACCCGCAUAUAUGUUUCCUUGCAUGAACAAAGUUUUACUUGUCUUGUGAAAACAUUCACAGCACCCUGCAUAGUUAUAGGCACCCCUGGUGACGACAAAGCUCUAAAAUAAAUGAAUCAUUUAUAAGAAAAA